rnacentral:rRNA from 1 species
CAAUAGCGUAUAUUAAAGUUGUUGCGGUUAAAAAGCUCGUAGUUGGAUUUCUGCUGAGAACGACCGGUCCGCCCUCUGGGUGUGUAUCUGGCUCUUUCUUGGCAUCUUCUUGGUGAACGUUGCUGCACUUGACUGUGUGGAGCGCUACCCAGGACUUUUACUUUGAGGAAAUUAGAGUGUUUCAAGCAGGCAUACGCCUUGAAUACAUUAGCAUGGAAUAAUAAGAUAGGACCUCGGUUCUAUUUUGUUGGUUUCUAGAGCUGAGGUAAUGAUUAAUAGGGAUAGUUGGGGGCAUUCGUAUUUAACUGUCAGAGGCGAAAUUCUUGGAUUUGUUAAAGACAGACUACUGCGAAAGCAUUUGCCAAGGAUGUUUUCAUUG